rnacentral:rRNA from 1 species
UACGGAGGGUGCAAGCGUUAUUCGGAUUUAUUGGGUUUAAAGGGUCCGUAGGCGGACUCGUAAGUCAGUGGUGAAAUCUCAUAGCUUAACUAUGAAACUGCCAUUGAUACUGCGGGUCUUGAGUAAAGUAGAAGUGGCUGGAAUAAGUAGUGUAGCGGUGAAAUGCAUAGAUAUUACUUAGAACACCAAUUGCGAAGGCAGGUCACUAUGUUUUAACUGACGCUGAUGGACGAAAGCGUGGGGAGCGAACAGG